CAGCGACGUCGGAGGUAACACGGUGGUGGGCGGGGAACAGACCGGAGGGACCCCGGGCCGCGUAUGGCGGACGGAGGGCGGGGGGACUCACGCUCUUCCGAGCCUCCGCCGCCUCGCGCUGGGAGCUUACAGGUCUGCAUCCUACCUAUCUGGAUGUUUCAGACUGUUCAAGAUACAAUGUUGCAGAGUUGGGAGGACCAUUGUCGCUGGGAAAGAUGUUUUCUUCCUCACAGUGAAAACAGUUCAAGUGAAAAGCUUUUUCCAGCGGGGUGGACGCAAGUUCUGCCAGUGAAGCUGAAGCAACUGACAAUCCGGGAACCAGGACCUUGGGGGGUGGGGGGAAGGACCGUGGGGCCAUGGUUGGAUCCAGGAACCUCCCUGCAAUUAAAAUCAAUCUAAGCAAUGCAAUUAAA